GAGGGCGUAGCCCAGUGGUAGAGUGUGUACUUGGCAUACACGAGGUCCUGGGUUCAAACCCCAGUACCUCUG
rnacentral:tRNA from 1 species